rnacentral:lncRNA from 1 species
UUGCUGAUUACCCUUUGUAAACAGCGUUUUGUGAGUUUCCUUUUCUUGCUUAUUCUUGUGGCCUCUGCCAGUUACCUUGGUUAUGUUCAUAUGGUUGCUUUUGUCCUUGUAUAUUUUAUCUUUUAUGUUGACAUCCUUGAUUAUUUUCUUGUUAUUAUGAUAUUUGGGUUUCUUGUUUGCAAUCUAUUGAUUUGCGAUGUUAAGAGCUUGAAAGGCAGUGAGAUCCACUCUAAAUGCAAUUUCGAGGGAAUCAAGCGUGCUUUCAGGACAAGCUGGGCGCACUUCCAAGACCUUCGACAAUUACCAACACGAGUCUCUAACCAUCACAGUACAUUAUCUUCUUAUACGAGUUUGCCGGCUGGUUUACCACGCUGACCUUCUUUGUACGUUCAAACACAGAAUAUAGUUGUAAGAAAUUAAGGUUCAAUUCUUAUCCUUCUCUUAUUUAUUGGGUUCUUAUUUAUUG